UAUGUCUGGCGUUGGGAACGCAGCCGCGGCUUGGUGGUGGAUAGCAAGAGGCAAAGGCAAAAAAGCACAGCUGCUUCUCCAGACCAGAGGCAAAGGCAGGUGCAUAGAGAUGAAUGGGACAAUGGCCACCUGCCGAGCAGCGUGUCAGGGGGCUGAGGUCCUGGCCCUUCAAGUGCUGCCCAGCCCCGCGUGGGAACCCCCGUUGCUCAUGCGCUCCCCAGCUUCCCAUUUCUCUUGCAACCGGGACAUCAGGCCAGCCUCAAAUGGCGCUUUGUCAAAAUAGAAAUGUUCUCCGUGAAGAAGUGGACAGAGAGUGACUGCCUUGGAAUGGACCCAACCUGGCUCCCCAGUAGCAGGAGCCCAGGAGGCCAGGCCCCUCGAGUAGCCGGACACACCCUCAUCCCAUGGCCAUUUGGCUGUGGUCCUCGGGAAAGGUGGAGAAAAGUCGCAGGACCCACAGGACAUCGGUCACACAUUUAUCCUGGAUCUGCCUGAUUGUUUUUCCGGGGCUUCGCUUCAUCUAUCUGGCCAAUUUGUAGGAUGAUUUCUGGACUGAGGAGGGAUGGCGGAUGAUGUAUCUCCAGUCAACGCUCUUGGCCUGGUUCUCUUUUUUCAAAAAAAGUCCAGAUCUACUGAGAGAUGAACUGCCUGAGCAUCUUUGUUGACCAGGGGCCCUGAGGAGAAAAACAAGAUUCCACCCCCAAGAUGCACUCAUGGUUGCUUACGGAAUUGUCAAGUGUGGGGGCCAAGGUUGCCGGCCUGGCACAAGCAAGGACACCCCAGCUCAGGCCCAGCAUCUGCAGUGACCUCCUGACUCAACCGGAGUCGUGGUGUCUGCGGAAAUGAAAUUGGAUCCCAUCCUUCCGCACAAAAUCUUCCACUGGUCCUAUUGCAAUUACACCCAGAAGAAAAUUCAAACUUCCUACUAUGGCCCAGAAGGUUCUCCAGGAUGUGAGAACUCAUACCCUCUCUCAAUGUGCCGGACCCUACCUUCUGCCAUCUUGCCUUUGCUUUUUUCCUUGCCUCCUUGCUGUUCCUGCAACCUGCUCCCCAAUCCCCUGGCCUUCAACCUGCUGCUUUCUCUGUGGGAAAUGCUUGCCCAGAUGUGCGGUGACCCGCUUCUCACCCCACUCCGGUUUCUUCUCUUUGUUCACCUCCUCCGAGUGGCCCUCCCUGAGUCCCUCCCAGGGGUAGCUCCCUUCCCCAGCUCUCCCUCUCAGCUCACCCUGCUUCCUCCACAGCACCCCAUCUCUGCUUUCUCCCUUUGUUCUCCAUCUCUCAAAACUGUGACUCCAUCAGGGUUUAUGCCUGUGGCUCAGCUUCUAGAAAGUGCCUUAGUCUGAGUAUGCACUGGAGCAUAUUCCAUGACUAUAUGAACAAACACCUAAAUGCACCACUGGCGGGAAUGUAAAUCAGUACAUUUCUAGGAAACCACUGAAAACGAUUUUUCUCAUUAACAAUUGAUAAGAAAUCAUUAAAUGUGCAAAGUUAGAAAAUACCAAUCAGCAAAAAGAAUAUUAAAAAUUACUUACAACCUCACACACUAUAAUUAUUUGGACGUGUACCCUUACAGUUUUUUCUGUGCAUGCAGGAAGCACAGUUACAUUGUAAUUUACCUUUUAUUACUUAACAGUAUAUUAUGAUAAAUCCUUAAAGGUUAAUAAGUACAUUUUUAGGACAUUACUCUUGAGGACUCUGUUGUAUGGAGAAUUUAUAUAUAUACAUACAUAUCUAUGUACAUGUCUGUUUACUUUUCUCUUGUUGGACAUAUGAUUCGUUUCCCCAAAGCAAUGAACAGCUUGAGCUAAAUCUCUAUACACAUCCGUGAGUGAUUCCUUUGAAAGCAGAGUCUUUGGGUUGUGCAUUUUUAAGGAUUUUGAUAAAAUUACCAAAUUACCCUUCAUAAAGUUUACCCAACCUAUCCUAUCAACCAGUGGUGUCGAAAGGGUUCAUUUCUUUGCCUUUAACAACACUCUAUAUCACUGUUUCUACCUUUACCAAUACAGGAGCCCCUAUGAUCUCAUUUUUGCUUAAAUUUGCAUGUCUUUGAUGACUAAUAAGGUUGAGCAUCUUUUAUAUGCUUAUUUAUCAUUUGAAUUUAUUCUUUUGUGAAUUGCUAUUCAUGUCCUCAAUACGGUUUUUCCUGUUAAAAUAUUUCUUCGUUGUUCGUUUGUAAGAAAGCUUUAUACAUUAGGGGAAUUAACCUUCUGUUAUAUGUAUUAAAUCUUUUCCCCUGGUUUUGGUUUACCUUUCAAUUGCAAAACUGUAUUUUUCACAUGUGGAUAUUUUAAAUUUGUACAAUUCAAAUUUAGCUAUCUUUUUUUCUUUCUAGUUUCUGCCCUUGGAAUUGGAUUUAGAAAAAGCUUCCCCAUGACAAUUUAUGUAGAUGGUACUUUUUCGUUUCACUUAAAAUUUUAAAUCUUUAAUUACUAUAAGAUUUCCUUUAAUAUGUGGUAUCAAGCAGGGUACUAAUUUUAUUUUCUGGGUGAGUGGCAGAUUGUACUUAUAUUAUUAUGGAUUACUUAUCCUUUCCUCAUUGAUAUGAAAUGCCUUUGUGUUAAAAAUAUAAAUGUAUGCAUAUGUGAGUCUUUCUGCACUCUCUUUUGCGCUUCAGUUUUUUUUUUUU